rnacentral:lncRNA from 1 species
CUCCUGUUUCUUGAAGCCCUUGGAGUGUAAAGCGUGGUGCUGCACACCUAGGCCUAUGCCCCUCCUUGGCUCCUACGGCGGAGCCUUGGUUGUCUGCUUCUCAGAAUCUCCUUCUGGGGGUGGAAGGCAGGUGAAAUUAAAGGACAGAGUGGUAAGGAAGGAAGGGACAUGGGUGGUAACAGUGGGAAGAAAUUGAAGCUAGAAUUUGUAAACCAGGAAAAGGGGCACUGAACUAGAGCACUGUGAUUGUGUUGAGAAAUUGGGAGUCUUGUGACGUCAAUAGGAUGAGGUAAAGAAGCAGCACCAACAGAAUUACUUCGAGGGUUUCCUAAGGCAUUUUGUGGUGAGCAAAACAGACUGUCGUAUUCACACAUUGAAAUUUCUGCACUGAGUUCCCGGUGUAGCUUCUGAAAUGGCUGAAACCCGAGUUUAAAAACCUCUGGACCUGACAUGUCUUCGAGAUCACCGCAACUAUUCCUUUGGCCUGUUCAUUCUCUGCCCAUCAUUCUUCUCAAUCCCAGGUGCUAGCGUCAUAGAAUGAAUUCUCUACUUCCUAUUUAGAAAGGACUUGUGUUUUCUAAAUGGAACUCAAGGAGGCAGAUACUUUUAUGCUAAUAAGCAGCAUAUAUUAAACUUGAUUAAUAGUUGUCUAGAAUUACCUCCUAAUAUGUUGGCUCUAUGAGGAUUUUCCAGGAAGACUGAACUAUUGUUGAAAGGCUGAUUGUUUAGAAACAAUAGCUUGGAAUUUGCCCAGACUUAGUAAAAUGUUGGAAGUUUAAAGGAUAAUGGAUUUUUGUAGUCACCAUAUUCUUCAUUGUAACAGUCUCCCAUAUUGAUUUGGUUUACAGUCUACGGUCUUUUUGUGUCAUAGCAGAUAACUCAUUGGUUAUCUGCCUGAGGUUUUGGUAUUUGGGAUUUUGUCAUCUUUGCAGUAAUGUCAAAGAAAUGAGUGGUCAGUUUUAAACUUGGGAUUUGGCAAAAAGAAAAAGAGCAUUCUUCAUGAAAGCUUUUUUUUUUUUUUUGAUAAAAGCUUUCACCAAGAAAUUCAUACUUAGGCUUUGUGACAGCCAGUAAUUAUCAGAUUGCAGUUACUUUUCAGAGGUGUUUACCCUGAGUCAAGGUUUUCGCCAUUUGAUGAUCUGAAUCGUGAAUUAACUCUGAUGUAAUCCAUUGGUUUACCUCAGCGUUCAGUAUGCCAGCCUGUGUUAAAUGAUGAUAAUUACUCCUAGGCACCUAUUUUUAAUUCUUUGCCGCAAAAGUAGUACUGGGCUGGGAGAAUCAAGGCAUUCCCUUGUUUUAAGAAACUCACAUUAGAGUGGGAGAGAUAAGAUGAGAACGCAGAAAUACAAUUCCACACUGAUACAAACACUGCAUUUCUUCACCCCCUUUCAUAGCAGAGUGCUCAAGUGUGAUCCAUGAUUUUUUUUCUGCAGUUCAUUUUCUCUCACUCUGUCUUGAAUCCACUUCUUCCAGAACCCACUUCUUCACCCAAACUGCUCAUACUAGAACCAUGACUGGCUUUCAGAAGUGCCAGUAUCUUGGUCAGUUCUCAGUUCUCCCUGGAUGUGACUUGCUGCAUUCUUGGAAAGAGGUGGUCAUUCUCUGCUUCUACAUGUAGCACAUUCUUCUGGUUGUCUUUCAACCCAACUUGCUUUUCUUCCCUGUCUUGUUUGCUGGUUCGUCAUCAUCUUCUUUAGUCUGAAAGUUGGAUAUUGUAGCACGCGGUCUUUGGUCCCGUUUUUUUUUUUUUUUUGUGGGUUGAAAGCUACUUUCUUUGUGAUCUCAUGUGAUCUCUUGCCUUUAAAUUCCAUCUGUACAUUGACAGUUCCCAGAUUCCUAUUACUGAUCAGAAUCUCUCUCUUGACUCUAGGCAACAUAUCUACUUGGGGUAUGUAAUAGGCAUCCUGAAUGUAGUACGUUCAAAACUCAUUGUCUUCCUCUGUCAAAGCUACUCUUCCUACAGUUUUUCCUCCAUCAGUUAUUCCAGAAAUGAUCGAUAUUAACACUUUGACAUAUGUGUUUCCACGUUUAUGUGUGCACACUUAUUUCUCUUCUUUAAUCAUGAGAUCAUUUUGUGAACACUGUUUCUUCUUCUGGCCCUCCCCCAAACCCCUCUCUACCCAGUAUUUAUGGAUAUGUUUCGCAUACUCUUAAAUACUCUUCAGGAACAUAGCUUUUAGGAGCUACUUGGUUAUACCAUAAUUUGUUAACUCUCCUUAUGAGUGAAUAUUGGAUUGCCACCCAUGACUUGCUAUUAUAAUUUAAGCUAUAAGUAAUAUCCCCAUUACUUUUAGUAUUCCUGUUACAAAAAAGAAAGAAACACUUCAUCAUUCUAGUUUUGCACAAUCGCGGUAUGGUAGCCACUAACCAUAUGUGGUUGUUGAGCACUUAAAUGUGACUAGACUGAACUAAAUGUGCUGUAAAUGUAAAAUACGCACCAGAUUUCGGAGAGUUUGAAAAAAAUGUAAAAUCUCUUACUAAUAAUUUUUAUGUUGCUUAAUUGUGGAAUAAUAGUUUGUUUUUUUGGGCUAAAUAAGCUAUAUUUUAAGAGUUAGGUUCAUCUUUGUCCUUUUACAUUUGUAAAUGUGAUUGUAAGAAAAUUAGAAGUUACUUGUGUGGCUUCCACUGUAUUUCUUCUAUUGGACAGCAGUGUUCCAGUUGCUCAGGUCAAAAACCUUGGAGUCACCCUUUCCUUCUCUCUUAUGUUCCAUAUCCUGUUAGUGGUACCAAGAGGCUGACUACUUUUCCCACCAGCACUACCCCACUUGGACCCAUGCUGGUCCAAGCCAUCAUUAUCAAUUCUCGCUUUGAUUCUUGCAGUCUAAUUUUAAUAUAUUGAUCCAGGUGAUUGUCUUAAAACAUGUCAGAUCAUGCCUCUCCUCUCCUGAAAACACUCCAGUGGCUUCUCCUUGUGUUCAGAGUAAAAGUUUAGUCCUAAAACAAGGGGUCUCCAUCUACCCCUUUCACUAUAUUUCUACAGUCUCACUGUGGUAAGCCAAACAGUGUCUCACUUGAAGUCUUGGCAUUUGCUCUCCCCCCACCUCGAGUGCUCUUCAUCCUUUUAUCUCUAGGGCCCGGUCCUUCACCUCUUUUGGGCAUUUGCUUCUCUGUGAAACUUUUCUGAACAUCCUAUUUGAAAUUAUGAGCUCACCCCAGCCAACUGUACCCCAAUAAUCCAUAAUUCUCUUUCUCGCUUUUCUCAUCUUCUUAGUGCUUAUCAGUAGCUAACAUAUUUGUCUUGUUGAUUGAAUUUAUUUUCUGUCCCCACAAGAACAUAAGUUCCACGAGGACAGGAGCCUUUGUUUUUUUCGCUGCUGUACCUCCAGCUCUGAAAACAAUGUUUAGCACAUAUUAUGCAAUAAAUGACUAUUUGUCAAAUAAAUGAAUAAAUGAAUUUAUUAAUACCACACGUGCUCUGUGGACUUAAAGAGGAAGAUUACAGGUGUUUAGUAGAUACGACACCUGCUGCUUUCUAUACUGAAGUGAAAGAGAAAGGUAAGACUGGGUAGUCAGGGUGGGGGCAUGGUUAGAGAGGACCUUAAAUCUUAGCCUGAGGGAUUUACAUUUAAUUCAGUGGAAAAUAAAGAGCCAUUGAAAUUCUUUAAACAGAAGCACAACAGAUUGGGGUUUUCUUUAAUCUUAUAGCUAAAAGGAUAGAGCUAAAGGACGGAGAGACGGUUAAUAACAGUGCAUAAAAGAAUAAUUGAUCCAAUCAUGGGAAGACCAGAGGCAAGAAGGCCAGUUGAAUGGGUAAUGCAUUCAUGCAGUUGAGAACUAAGGAUUUACUUUAGCAAUCUAUAGGUGUUGAUGAUCAAUUGUAUGUGAGAAGGGAGGGAUAAAUAGAUAAAGAUGACUGUUCUCCAAUCCCCAAAGGGAGAUGAGAAGAACUAGGGAAGACUGAAGGAGGCAAGUUUGGAGGGAAGUUGAAGAUUUCAGUCUUGGGAAGUCUGUAGCUUGAAGAGAGAUGAAUUCAUGUAGUGUUUUCAAGGCAUUUCAAGUCUCUUCAAUAAUAAGUGCACAUUUAACCCAACUUGGGAGCUUGCUGUUUCUUAAAUUCAUGCUAUGAAGGUGUUCUGGGAAAGAUAAUAGACAGAGGACCCUGCUUUAGCUAGUAUUUGCCAGUAGAAAUCUAGUGAACUCAACUCUAGAUUUGCAUACUGCAAAAACAUUAAUUGCUCCCAAAUCAAUCUGGGCCUAACAACAACCUGGAGCAUUGGUGAAAGAGAUAAUGUCAAGUGUAGAGUGUUUGCUUGCUGCUAAUUAGCUAUGUUGGGAUUGGCAUAUAUGGAGCAGUCAUUAGGACUCAAACUAUUAUUUUAGUUGUGUUUGCAAAGAAAAUCACAGAAUGCAUUACGAAUUACUUCGGUUAUGAAAUACAUUUUCUGAUUUCAUAUAGUCUCUAGGAACCGAAGUUUGAAUGUCCUUGUUCAUUUAGAAGCUUUCUGUAAUGACAUCAAGAAGCCUUAAAUAAAGGUGUCUUAAAUGCUUGGCCAGUGUUUAUGGC